UUUUUUAACGCAAGCUCUCUCUCCCUCCUCUCCCUUUCUCUCGGUCUCCUCUCUCUCACUCCCUCAACCAAAUUCUUGCUACUCCACCAUCAAUCCUUGAAAACCCACGCACAUAUCUUCAUCCUCGGCCCUCGGAUCGCGUGGAAAGAGCUCGGUGGAGGCAUAUUUCGGAUUUGGAGGCUAGGGUUUGGUUUGAGCUCAAAGCUUGGUCUUGAUACUUGAGGUAUGGAUAUCUCUACGAGCUAGUGUAGCUCACCCUAUCCUUUCAGGUACUCGCCAUGGCACUUAGCUUGGAUUGCAUGGAGUGUAUAUUGAGACGUCUCUUGAAAGCUUCAUUGGUAUCAUAAAGGACGUGUUUAUCAUCUAGUCUAAUUCAUGUUAUGUACUUUACUCGUAAUGGAAAGUUGUACCUUUUGAUCAGAAUAUAUGUAAAGCUAUGUGUAAAUUCCUCUCCUUGAUCAGUAUGGAACUCAUUUAAUUGUAAACGUUUGGGAGACUUUAUGUAAAAAAAAAAAAAAAAUUAGAGAGAAGAAGAAGAGAUUUUGAUUCUU